ensembl:lncRNA
GUUUGCGGUGUCUGUGAGAGGGAAGUGAAGGAGAUGAGCAGGGCCCGAAGCGGAGCUCGCUGUGCUUCUGACAGAGCGGACUUCUGGUUGUUGACACAUGUGGACCAACAGUGACAUCCUUCUUCAGCAAUGCUGUCUUUACUCCCUCCUGCAUUCAGAAGCAUCUAGAGAGAUUUCUUGCCAAAGGUAGGUUCUGGCAGUUCAGCUGCAUGGCUGUUCUUUUCCUUCUGUGCUAGAAAAAAGCAUGUAGAUGUUACUAGGGAGAAUGGUAAUGAGUCUCGUGGAGACUAGAGUGCUGCUGCUGAGAGAAGGGAUCAACCUUAGCUUGGGUUGCCUGGAAUAGACUCAGGGGAAAGGUGAGUGAAGUGGAGUCUGGAGGAAUGGCCUGUAGGUUGCCUUAGAGAAGGGUUUGGCAGUCACAGAACGUGGUUGGCUUAUAUUGCAUUGAUGUGGAUUGGUAAUAGAGCUCUUCUUAAAGAAAACUCAUGCUCCACACCUAUUUGUGCUCGGUCAGUGUUCUCAUUUAUUUGAAAUAAUUCAAUUAAAUCAAAAGGGGAAAUGAAAUGGCCAUGCAGGAUGUGUGAUUAACAUACAUUUUGUGUUUAAAUCUUUUGUGGGUCUCACCCCUUCCUCCCCCCCCAAAAAAAAGUGUUUGGUCUGAAAUAAACAAAUGUGCACCUCCUGGUACUGCCAUGACUUUGCUGUUAGCUUCUACCUCUUAUUUUCCUCUCUGAAGUCCUAACUUACUUGACGUUUUCAAGAGAAUUGAGAUGCAAAACUUCCACAGCAAAAAGCGAAGAAGCGUAGAUGGGAACAGAGCACCCUGUGGGCUUUUUAACAAGCAAAUCUUAAGAGAUUUGGUGCUUCUUGUGAUUUUUGUGCACCCUUGUGCUCUAACUUGUAGAGUGUGGCUUGUGGGUUAGCUGGGUGCCUUUCCAUCUCUACUGAUCUGCUUUUGUGUGAGUUCUAGAAAUAUGUCUCACAGUCUGUACACAGAAUUACUGGCUGAACUGGAAUUUUUCAGCAGAUGGAAUGUCAGCCUUUACCUGAAUGAGUAGUUUUGCAUCUUCUUGUUUUCCUCCAGUGCAUUCCUUGCCACUUAAUUUUUUUCCCCUCUGUCGGAAGGGGUGUUUUUAACAAUUAGGUCCACCAAACGUUUUACUUUGUGUUGACAUGGUGAUACAGCAAUAUUGUUGUUUUUUUGCUGCUGGAUGCUGAGACUCAGAAUUGCAGGCUUUUAGUUUAAGAGCUAUGGACUGCUGCAAAGACCAGAGAAAGGGUAAAUGAGUUUUGGUCUGAGCUGUUUUUGUGUCAGACUAAAAUGUAUUUUCAGUUCCUCUGGACUGGUACUCAAGUCGCAGCAGUUAUACUGAAACCACAACGACACCAGCUUUGUAUUGACAUGCAAAGCCAGAAGCCCUUGAAAACUAAGGGUUAUUUGACUACCUUAAUUAUCUCUUGUCAGCAAAUUGACUCCUGAUGAAUUAAUUGCCAUUCCCUGUGCCGAUUCCCUUCCUGAAGCCUCUCUUCAGCAUCGGCAGAGCCCUUGGCCAGCUCAGGCAGACUGCUCGCCACACUGCAGCCCAUCCCUCCCUGGGUGGGAUACCCGAAUUUCUCCUGAGAGCCCAGCAGCUUCUGUCCUGCACACUGCAGCUCUGGCUGAGCUGUGCACAGCUUUCUGUGGGAGCAGUCGCUGCUGUCAGCAACUUUACCAGAGGAGUUGCUGCUGCUGUAAGAAUUUGUGCUCCUGGGCUGAGGGAGGACAUCAUGUCUCAAAAGCUGCAUCUCCCUUCCCAUAGAUCCCUCGAAGUCCCCUCACUCCCCUGUAGGCUGUUGUAAAGGAGGGAGUGUUUGAGUUAGUGGUAGCAGCAAAGAAGCGCUGUCCUUAGCCAUGUUUAGGGUCUGCUUUGUUUUGAGGCUGUGGGACUGCUCUUUUUGCUUGCCUGAAGGACUUGGCGCUCCUCAGGGCUGACAUUCCUCUCUGUAAGAGGUGCCUGAGUGGUCAUUAAGAGCCUGAGCAGGUGAGGGGAAACUGCCUUGGUAUUGUGUUUGCAGCAAAAUGAAUCUGUGCAGCUUGCGUCACUGGAGAGCAAGUAAUGUCCCUGGAUUGGCAGGUAAGGAACAUAGGGAGAAAAAUGGCUUUUAAACCUUGUCAGGGAAUGCAGCAUUCAUGAAAACAAAGGGCUGAAUAACAAUGUCCAGAGCACAGGAAAGUGCUGUAGGCACUGAGUAAUUUCCUCCUAUGUCCUGUCAGCAUCCCUAUGCAUCAGGACCUCUGAGCAGAGGAAUAAUGAGGAGAGGAGGGUCCUCUGGAAGUUGUACCUGGAGUAUUCUGUAUGGGAUUGCUUUGCAAUCUAGGAAAGUGUAUUGAAUCCCUGGCACAAGCAGAAAAGCAGAGCAGACACUGAGGGGUGCAUAUGUAAGUGCCUGUGAUGCUUGAGCACAGCUGUGGGACCACAGCAAGAAGUCAGCUUGUAGGAGCAGUGUGGGGGGGAGGGGGAGGUGGAUGAUGGUGAUGCAGAUGAUGGCGGUGGCCCCUCUGAAUUGUGAAUGUACUGUCAAAUGGAAUCCCAGGUUAGCUUUGCAUUUGGCUCCUUGAUGCCUUGCUGGCAGCACCUGCUCUCAAGCCUGUGUAGCACUGUGCUCUAACACUUAGGUACAAUUCUGCCCAGGUUACGUAACACGGUGAACUUUCUCUUUCC